CCUGUCAGCUGGUAUAAAGCUAGCACUGCUGGGGUUGGGAAGGUUGGCAGGGGUGUUGUGCUGGAGUGUUUUUGGGGAGGUGGGAUCCCAUCAUCUAUAUUUGAUGAAGAUACUGAAAAGCACUGGUCCUAAGACAGGCUCCUGAGGGACACCACUUGUUACCAGCCUCUACCCGGACAUGGAGCCAUUGACCACCACUCUCUGGGUGCAAACUUCAAGCUGAUCCUUAUCCACUGAAUGGUUCACCCUUUGAAUUCACCUCUCUCCAAUUUGGAGAUCAGGAUGUCGUGUGGGACCACGUCAAAGGCCUUACAGGAGUCCAGCAGCAAAAUCUUGACCUUCUGAGUGUGGGGGAGGGCUGAGGCAGGAUUGUCCCCUCUGACUGCUGCUGGUCCUGGCACAGCCGGCACAUCUUGUCACUUGUGUUGGACUUUUUGCUAGUAAAACAGAUGUAAAGUAAAGUACAUACAAGGAACAGACGCAGUCACAGAACUGAUGUUUUGCAAAUCCUUUACAACUUUCCACUCAUAUUGAUGUAAAACCUGUGAUCAGACUGCAUCAAACUGCUUGACAUAUGGAUCUGCACAGUUUGUAUCUGUCAAGAGCAGAAGAGACAGCACGAUUAGUAAGAAGAGACAGAUUGUCCAGUACAAAAAGAAGGAAAGAAAAGAAAAUCACCUGUGCCUGGUGCAGUGCCAUUAUAAAGAAGCAGCCUCUGAGCUCAGUGUAUCUGUACACAGGAACCUGGUCUCCAGCUGACUCGUAAAUGAGGCACUCUCCUCAGUGAAUGCACUUUCAGAGAAAGCCCAGUGCUGGAUUGCUUUUCAUAUAAGCGUUUCAGCAGAGGAGACCCCAGAGUGCUGCUCUGAAGCUGUGGCUUGCAUUUCAAGUGUAUACACAGAAACGUGUCCUCCUUUCUUUCUUGGAAGAGCAUGCCAGACACAACUAUCAGCAUAAUGCUCCAGCGUAACAGCUGUGCAGCACAGACACCCACACCGGAGUGCUUCUUACAAAUACCUGAUUUACUGGGGCCUUGGCAUGGCGCAUUGCACAGAGAGGGAAUGAAACCCCUGCCUGGCCUUGCUCUUUCUGUUCUGGAGGCCCUUGGUAAUCCUUCCUAACAUUAAUAGGGCUUCCCUUUUCCAUUGAAGAAGUACAUUUACCCCAGCUCUGGGCUCGUCCCUGUUACCCUGAUGGUACUAGCGAGAUUGGCUGCGUCCCCUCCACCCCUUCCAUGACUAACUCGCAGUGAUAUCACCAGCUCUCUUCCCUCUGACUUUGUCUUUGCCUCAGGACUGCUCUCACUGGCCGCACAAGCAUCUCUUUUCAGAGCAGUGCACCUCUUCUGACGCUGCAGGAAUGAGAUGUGCAGCAAUGCGCCCACGUGCCUCACCCCACUGCAGGGCAUCUCUGCACCCACCUGGCUGCUCACCCCAUGGAAGAAGGGCCAAACCUCUCAGAGUCAUUCUUCAACAAGUAAAGCAUCCUGAGAGAGGCUCGUAGAGCGCAUCAGGGUCUGGCUGCAGGCUUGUCCUGGGAAUGUUGACCCCCUCACAGCUAUCAGCAGUGUCCCCACCACGGGAGGCUUCACAGGACACCCCUCUCCUUGCAGGCAGUGGCGGUGACACCCGGUCUCCCCAGAGACCCCCCCACGCCCUUAUCAGCACUUCUCCAUCCCUGAGCUCUGCAGCAUCUGCUGAUGCCCGGGCUCACGUGUGUCUGUGGGGCAGAACAAAGCUCUCUCCUUUGCUCUGCGUGGGGAAAAUGUCCCAUGUGGCUUGGCAAUCUCUGCCAGCUGAAAUAGGGCAGAGCCAAAGGGACUGCACAUCCUUAAAAGCUUCAAAGGCUGAGAAGGUACUGCUGGCAGGGAAUGGCUGUGGCAGGUCGCUUCUACAGGGAUGCUCGCUCAGGAAGCCCAGCACCCCGCUCCCAGCAGCACUGCACUGGCACCGCUCGCUAAGCGCCACUCUCCUGCAGAGCAGCGCACGUGCUGCGGAGCCGACCACGGGGCUGCGCAGAUGUGUUUUGUCUCAAACCAUUUCUGUGCUGGUGAGUGGAAGACAAGAUCAGUUCCGAAAGCAUGGAUACAGAAGUGCAGCUGGGAGAGAGAAAAGGAGAAAUAUUUUUCUCCAAUUACUUUAUUCUUUUAUUCUCAUCAGUCUUCUUAACAAGAAAACAAGUACAUCUUUGGUGAAGUACUGGUGCAGAUAACUCACAGGGAAACUUUAGUAUCUUCCUGAGCAUUGCCCAGAGCUCUAUAUAUUUUGGUGUUCACCCUCUCUGCAGGGCUGUGUGCUGCCUAUAGCCUUCUCAGAGCCCCUGGCCUCCCUGUACUGCCACCAGUGCUGCGAGAUUGUGGGACUGCAGAACAGGGUGCAGGGGAAACCUGGUCUUGUGAUCUGAGGCAGAGGAAGAGCACCUGACUCAUCGGACAAACUCAAUUUCCUUGGCUUUCCUAUUUCCACUAAUGAGCAGAAGCAGUAAAAGACCUCCACUGUCACUUUUUAAUUUUAUUCUUUUUUAAUUUUUAAUCAAGACACUUUGCAGGCAGACCAUGCUUUACACGGGUAUUCAUAUGCCUGCUGCAUUCAGCACAAGGGAGCCCAUCUCAUACCAGAAGUCUUGGCAAAUAGCACUGGAAUACAAAGGCCUGGCAGCGAGGGCUGCUGACAAACUCGGCCUGGCCAGACACGCAGUGC